GAGUUUGAUCAUGGCUCAGGACGAACGCUGGCGGCGUGCCUAAUACAUGCAAGUAGAACGCUGAAGGAGGAGCUUGCUCUUCUGGAUGAGUUGCGAACGGGUGAGUAACGCGUAGGUAACCUGCCUGGUAGCGGGGGAUAACUAUUGGAAACGAUAGCUAAUACCGCAUAACAGUAGAUGUUGCAUGACAUUUGCUUAAAAGGUGCAAUUGCAUCACUACCAGAUGGACCUGCGUUGUAUUAGCUAGUUGGUGGGGUAACGGCUCACCAAGGCGACGAUACAUAGCCGACCUGAGAGGGUGAUCGGCCACACUGGGACUGAGACACGGCCCAGACUCCUACGGGAGGCAGCAGUAGGGAAUCUUCGGCAAUGGACGGAAGUCUGACCGAGCAACGCCGCGUGAGUGAAGAAGGUUUUCGGAUCGUAAAGCUCUGUUGUAAGAGAAGAACGAGUGUGAGAGUGGAAAGUUCACACUGUGACGGUAUCUUACCAGAAAGGGACGGCUAACUACGCGCCAGCAGCCGCGGUAAUACGUAGGUCCCGAGCGUUGUCCGGAUUUAUUGGGCGUAAAGCGAGCGCAGGCGGUUAGAUAAGUCUGAAGUUAAAGGCUGUGGCUUAACCAUAGUACGCUUUGGAAACUGUUUAACUUGAGUGCAAGAGGGGAGAGUGGAAUUCCAUGUGUAGCGGUGAAAUGCGUAGAUAUAUGGAGGAACACCGGUGGCGAAAGCGGCUCUCUGGCUUGUACUGACGCUGAGCUCGAAAGCGUGGGGAGCAAMAGAUUAGAUACCCUGGUAGUCCACGCCGUAACGAUGAGUGCUAGUGUUAGACCUUUCCGGGUUARUGCCGUACUACGCAUUAAGCMYUYCGCCUGGGGAGUACGACCGCAGUUGAACUCAAGGAAUUGACGGGYCCGCACAGCGGUGGAAGCAUGUGGUUAAUUUCAAGCAMGCGAAGAACUUACCAGUCUUGACAUUCCUYUKAMYSUCYWAGAWRAGUUUUCCUCCGGAMAAGUG
rnacentral:rRNA from 1 species